AUUGAACGCUGGCGGCAUGCCUUACACAUGCAAGUCGAACGGUAACGGGCCUUCGGGUGCCGACGAGUGGCGAACGGGUGAGUAAUACAUCGGAACGUGCCCGAUCGUGGGGGAUAACGAGGCGAAAGCUUUGCUAAUACCGCAUACGAUCUACGGAUGAAAGCAGGGGACCGCAAGGCCUUGCGCGGACGGAGCGGCCGAUGGCAGAUUAGGUAGUUGGUGGGAUAAAAGCUUACCAAGCCGACGAUCUGUAGCUGGUCUGAGAGGAUGAUCAGCCACACUGGGACUGAGACACGGCCCAGACUCCUACGGGAGGCAGCAGUGGGGAAUUUUGGACAAUGGGCGCAAGCCUGAUCCAGCCAUGCCGCGUGCAGGAUGAAGGCCUUCGGGUUGUAAACUGCUUUUGUACGGAACGAAAAGCCUUCCUUUAAUACAGGAGGGUCAUGACGGUACCGGAAGAAUAAGCACCGGCUAACUACGUG
rnacentral:rRNA from 1 species